AAGCUCAAGCUUGAAAUCUCCGCACAAGUUUUGUGUGGCGAAUUGUAGUCUAUAGAAGCGAUGUCAGCAUAGCUGCUCUAGUCAAGUUCCUUGGAAAAGGACAGCAUGGAGGGUUAUACUCCCGUCAUUGCUGGAGCAUGCUGUGUGUACGACACGUUUUCUUUGAGUCGCGUUGUUUGGGAAUGCAGCGCAAAGUAGGUGGUAAAUUCCAUCUAAAGCUAAAUAUAAGUGCGAGACCGAUAGCGAACAAGUACCGUGAGGGAAAGAUGAAAAGAACUUUGAAAAGAGAGUUAAAGAGUACCUGAAACUGCUGAAAGGGAAGCGAAUCGUAUCCAGUGUCUAUAAUCCGCAACAUAUUACAAUGAUGUGUCUUUGCUUUCCGCGUGUAGGUAGUAGCCUUGGUUGCACCUUGCGUGGAUUGGUUGAGACAUAUCGUUGCCCUGUGUUGUGGUGGGACGUCAAAGUCAGUUUGUACGUCGCAGCAAAUGAUUGACGAG
rnacentral:rRNA from 1 species